UACGUAGGGUGCAAGCGUUUAAUCGGAAUUACUGGGCGUAAAGCGUGCGCAGGCGGCUUUGCAAGACAGAUGUGAAAUCCCCGGGCUUAACCUGGGAACUGCAUUUGUGACUGCACGGCUAGAGUGUGUCAGAGGGGGGUAGAAUUCCACGUGUAGCAGUGAAAUGCGUAGAGAUGUGGAGGAAUACCGAUGGCGAAGGCGGGUUGCUGGGCUGAUACUGACGCUGAGGCGCGAAAGCCAGGGGAGCGAACGGG
rnacentral:rRNA from 1 species